UGGAAAUGAUUGCGCUUGCAAUGAUGUCAUUUCCUUGCGGAUGCCUGUAGCAGUUGACAGCCAAGUUGUUGACAAUUUGCUUCCACGGUGAAAUUGUUCUCUCCUUGUCCUUAUUGGUGUCGCAGGGGAAAAGAAAGUAUUUCAACGGAGUGCAUGGGACGUGAUGCAGCUCAACACAGAUUGUAAUGGAGGACGAUGCUAAGGAGAGGAGGAUGGAACAUGCUGACAGUCACGGUGUGCGGCCUCACCAUGGAAAAUUACAUUAAAAGUUCCUGCUGAAUGGGCCAUGCUAAACGUACAGCUCAGCUACAGCACGACGAUGAACAGCCACAUUACAGGUGUAACUAAAGAACCAAUGUGACCGCAACAAAGAGCUGCACCGUGGAUUGCUUGGCCCAAAGCCUAUUCAGCUGCUGACAGCCUUGGCUGGACCCUGGACAAUGUCAUUCAUCUUCCACUCCCCCCCCCAAAACUUAUGCAUCACGAUUCAAUGCGCAUCACGAUACACAUGCCACAAUGCCAUACGAUCUCGAUGCAUUGCGAUACAUGUAUUCUUGCAAUGCAUUGUGAUAUUUACUUAAUUCAUUUUUUUACCUUUACCAACAUUAUACAAUAAAAAUAAAAACCAUGAUAGUU